CACACGAUCGGGCGAAUCAUGGCAUCGAUGUCGGAGGUAAGGCCGAGAUCAAAGACUUAUCAUGGUUGAUGGGACUCUGCCGGGCUGACUUGCCGUGGAGAGCUGCGGGUCCGUAGAUAACAGGAGCCAUGUGCAUUAAUUGUGGAGUAAGCCGGAGAUCCGCAUUAAUUGUUGAGUGAACCGGGGGUUUGCAGGGGCCGUGUGCAAUAAAUGUUGGGGCAAUGGCAGGAUAUGGCCCUCGGCCGGACCUCGGAGGGAUACGGCCGUAGCAGGUGGUCGACAAGAACAGACCUUGGGAGUCGGGAGUUUUCCGGGUCGGAGGUUCUGAGGUCGGACGUUCCAAGGUCGGACGCCGACUUCGGCUGUCCAAGGUCGGCGGUUGGGCGACUCCUUAGGGGUAAUUAUGCCGCUGGGGGAAGACCAUAUUCCCCCAACAAUUUUACUAUACAACUGGCUGGCCAUGCAACAUGAGAGGAUCGAUGCUUUACACCACAAACCUCUCCUCGGAGGCUCGGAGAAAGCUUUUUGCGGUAGUAAGUAUCGGCGCUGCAACAUUAGCCAAUCGCAAAGGCACAGACCACAGAUAUGGACAGGAAAAGCAACAUCCAAUGUCCAACUUGGGAAUAUAAGGCAGGGUCAUACCC
rnacentral:lncRNA from 1 species